CGGGGAAUGGGGGCGGCUACACAUGCAGUCGAGCGGUAACAGAUCCAGCUUGCUGGAUGCUGACGAGCGGCGGACGGGUGAGUAAUGCAUAGGAAUCUGCCCGAUAGUGGGGGAUAACCUGGGGAAACCCAGGCUAAUACCGCAUACGUCCUACGGGAGAAAGGGGGCUUCGGCUCCCGCUAUCGGAUGAGCCUAUGUCGGAUUAGCUAGUUGGUGAGGUAACGGCUCACCAAGGCGACGAUCCGUAGCUGGUCUGAGAGGAUGAUCAGCCACAUCGGGACUGAGACACGGCCCGAACUCCUACGGGAGGCAGCAGUGGGGAAUAUUGGACAAUGGGGGGAACCCUGAUCCAGCCAUGCCGCGUGUGUGAAGAAGGCCCUCGGGUUGUAAAGCACUUUCAGCGAGGAAGAACGCCUAGCGGUUAAUACCCGCUAGGAAAGACAUCACUCGCAGAAGAAGCACCGGCUAACUCCGUGCCAGCAGCCGCGGUAAUACGGAGGGUGCAAGCGUUAAUCGGAAUUACUGGGCGUAAAGCGCGCGUAGGUGGCUUGAUAAGCCGGUUGUGAAAGCCCCGGGCUCAACCUGGGAACGGCAUCCGGAACUGUCAAGCUAGAGUGCAGGAGAGGAAGGUAGAAUUCCCGGUGUAGCGGUGAAAUGCGUAGAGAUCGGGAGGAAUACCAGUGGCGAAGGCGGCCUUCUGGACUGACACUGACACUGAGGUGCGAAAGCGUGGGUAGCAAACAGGAUUAGAUACCUGGGUAGUCG
rnacentral:rRNA from 1 species